ACUUUACAAUGCUGGCAACAGCGAUAAGGGAACCUCGAGUGCCAGGUUACAAAUCUGGCUGUCGAGAUGCCUAAAAAGCAUUUCAUAGCAAGGGCCGGGCAAGACCGGUGCCAGCCGCCGCGGUAACACCGGCGGCUCGAGUGGUAACCGUUAUUAUUGGGUCUAAAGGGUCUGUAGCCGGCCGGAUAAGUCUCUUGGGAAAUCUGGCAGCUCAACUGUCAGGCUAUCAGGAGAUACUGUCUGGCUCGAGGCCGGGAGAGGUGAGAGGUACUUCAGGGGUAGGGGUGAAAUCUUGUAAUCCUUGAAGGACCACCAGUGGCGAAGGCGUCUCACCAGAACGGACCUGACGGCAAGGGACGAAAGCUAGGGGCACGAACCGG
rnacentral:rRNA from 1 species